AUCAAAGUGGACUCAGAUGAGUAGGAGGGCGUGGCGGUCGUAUGGAAGCGCUCGUGCGAACGGGCGUGAAACGGCCGCUAGUGCAGAUCUUGGUGGUAGUAGCAAAUAUUCAAGUGAGAUCCUUGAAGGACGAAGCGGGGAAGGGUUCCACGCGAACAUUGAUUGAGCGUGGGUGAGUCGUUCCUAAGCCGAGUGGUUAUUGCUAAUUACCGGCGAAAGGGAAGCAGGUUGACAUUCCUGCACACGGAUGUGGAGGCGGUGACGCCGUAUGUGAGGUGAUGACGUUGCCUGUGGCUCUGGGCAGAGUUUUCUUUUCUGUUUAACCGUCAAUGUGCGCUGUGUGGAAUCCGCUUGUCGGGAGAAACACGCGUGCACGGGCAUAGCGCCGGGGCUUUUCCGGCGUCCAGAUCGCCACAGACGACCCUUGAAAAAUCACCCGCUGAUACAUGAUCCACGCCGUGGCGUACCGAUUACCGCAUCAGGUCCCCAAGGUGAACAGCCUCUGUUCGAUAUGAAAAAUGCAGGUAAGGGAAGUCGGCAAAUUAGACCCGUAACUUUGGGAAAAGGGUUGGCUCUAGUGCUGCGUGGGAGUGGUUGUCGUAUCUCUGGGUGCGUCAGCUAGGCUCUUUGUUGCAGAUUUGUGGGGAUGUGUAAGUUUACUUGCUAUUUCCUACGUUUUUGUGACAUUGGGCUUGGUAGACGUAUCUGAGUGCGACGACGCCCACAGCAUGCAGCAGACUAGAACUGCAACGGGCAAAGGGAA
rnacentral:rRNA from 1 species